rnacentral:rRNA from 1 species
CAUUCUCGUAANGGGCCCUGCGGAAGGAGGAUUCAUGUGAAUUAGUACUACACUGCGUGAGCGGAACGAAAACAACAACACCUAAAAUGUGGAAUAUAGCAUAUAGUCGACAAGAGAAAUCUACGAAAAACAAACAAAACUUUCAACAACGGAUCUCUUGGUUCUCGCAUCGAUGAAGAGCGCAGCGAAAUGCGAUACCUAGUGUGAAUUGCAGCCAUCGUGAAUCAUCGAGUUCUUGAACGCACAUUGCGCCCCUCGGCAUUCCGGGGGGCAUGCCUGUUUGAGCGUCGUUUCCAUCUUGCGCGUGCGCAGAGUUGGGGGAGCGGAGCGGACGACGUGUAAAGAGCGUCGGAGCUGCGACUCGCCUGAAAGGGAGCGAAGCUGGCCGAGCGAACUAGACUUUUUUUCAGGGACGCUUGGCGGCCGAGAGCGAGUGUUGCGAGACAACAAAAAGCUCGACCUCAAAUCAGGUAGGAAUACCCGCUGAACUUAAGCAUAUCAAUAAGGCGGAGGAAAA